rnacentral:rRNA from 1 species
AGAGUUUGAUCCUGGCUCAGAACGAACGCUGGCGGCGUGCCUAACACAUGCAAGUCGAACGGAGUGAAGGAGCUUGCUCUUUCAUUUAGUGGCGCACGGGUGAGUAACGCGUAGAUAAUCUGCCUUGGACUCUGGGAUAACAUCUCGAAAGGGGUGCUAAUACCGGAUAAGCCCACGAUGGCGUAAGUCAUUGCGGGAAAAGGGGGCCUCUGAAUAUGCUCCUGAUUCAAGAUGAGUCUGCGUACCAUUAGCUAGUUGGUAGGGCAAGAGCCUACCAAGGCGACGAUGGUUAGCUGGUCUGAGAGGAUGAUCAGCCACACUGGAACUGAGACACGGUCCAGACUCCUACGGGAGGCAGCAGUGGGGAAUUUUGCGCAAUGGGGGAAACCCUGACGCAGCAACGCCGCGUGAGUGAUGAAGGCUUUCGGG